rnacentral:piRNA from 1 species
UCAACUUGGAAAAUCCUGAUGUGGGUGCA